rnacentral:tRNA from 1 species
GCCUGGCUGGCUCAGUGGGUAGAGCGUGGGACUCUUGAUCUCAAGAUUGUAAGUUUGAGCCCCACAUUGGGUG